GGAAGACUCACUGCAGAAACACCAGGUCUGUGCUCAGACCUGAGCCUCUUUCCCCAAGGUGUCCUCAGGAUUAGACAACCUGAACUCUGUGGUAACCUGAGCAGAUGGCAUCAAAUCUCAUGCAGCCCAGGAUGAACGCAUAGCCAAGAAUGAUCUCCAACUCCCAACCCUUCUUCCCCUCAGGUGAGUGUCAUGUGAGAAUGAACGCAGAUGAAAGCUUACGAAGAUAGUGAGUUUCGCUGGCAAACGUCUGCAGGAGUGCAGUGCAACAGAAGAUCAGAUGCCACAUCUGCCAUGGCGCUGGUCAGCAUACUUCACGACGUCUGUGUCUGAAGCCAUCAUCCCCGUGGCUGCAAAUGGACACCUAGGUCCCUUCCCUGCAGUAGCUUCUGUCAUUCUCUGUCACCUGUUAAUGGUGGUGCUCUGGAAAGCUGCUUUGGAGGGUUUAUUUAUUUUUUUUUUUGUCCUAAUGCACCAAGGAGAAAACUGGCAUGUGCUGUCCUAGGCUUAUCUAUGCGGACUGACUUGAUCAGAGUACCUCUUGUGUGAGACCCGGAAUGAAGAGCUUCUACCUUGGACUUUUAAGAGCGCACUGUCCAGAUAGAUAUUAACCCACAGUCUCUCCAAAUAGAUAGUAAGCCUCAAGGGGUCAAGUACAUAGUCCAAGAUAAACAACAAAUGAGGAGAUAAUAUGUUUGUGUUGAGAAUGGGGAGCCUGGUGCCCAGACCUAAGCAUUAGAGUCAA